rnacentral:tRNA from 1 species
CCCCUGAUAAGGGUGAGGUCGGUGGUUCGAAUCCACCCAGACCCACCA